rnacentral:rRNA from 1 species
UACGGGGGGGGCAAGCGUUGUUCGGAAUUACUGGGCGUAAAGGGCUCGUAGGCGGCCAACUAAGUCAGACGUGAAAUCCCUCGGCUUAACCGGGGAACUGCAUCUGAUACUGGAUGGCUUGAGUUCGGGAGAGGGAUGCGGGAAUUCCAGGUGUAGCGGUGAAAUGCGUAGAUAUCUGGAGGAACACCCGGUGGCGAAGGCGGCUCUCUGGGACCGGUACGUGACGCUGAGACGCGAAAGCG